rnacentral:lncRNA from 1 species
GUGUCGCAUCCAGCAGACUUCACAUGAUCAAGUUCCAAGCCCACACACCCGCCAGGGCUUUGGUAGGCUGGUAUGAAGGUAGAAAGCACCUGGGCAUACCUACACAGGUGGGCUGUGUCUAGAAGUCAUCUCUGUCCCCACCUAGACAGUGACCCUCUUGUCACCUGUGGCACGGCAUCUCUCCUCUCACGCCAUGUCUGUGUAUGCGUUUAAGGAGCCAGAGGAAAAGGCUCAGCCAUUCCCAUCACCAUCCUACCUUCCGGACUGAAGGGCCACCAAGGAAGUCCGUCACACGUGACUAGUGCCACUCCAUUGAGCAGAUAGGUACAAUAUGUUCUGCCUGUGGGUGGACCAAAAGGAGUGCUCACCAGGGAGCAAGUCGGGGCCUGAUCACAGGCUCAUCUAGGGGUUAUAUGAAUAUCUUUGUGUCAUAGCAAGAGUGAUGUCCAUAAAAGAUGAAGGAGCCCCCAGAGCGUCAAUAUCUUAAUUACUACUGUGGGCUCUGAACACGGAACAAUGGCACUGGCUGUUGAGGUUGUGACCCUCAGCCAGCUGCCAAAUAAGACUCAGAACAUGAACUGCGUGGCCAUAUUCUUUUUCACUGACUGGACCCCACAAACACUUGCCAUUGUACGCUAGUGUGACUGUUGUCUGUGAGAACUUUCUAGCUGUGGGGAAUCUAAAAGCUGGCUGGUACUGGGAGGGGAACUAGGAGGAGCUGGGCUCAGGCAGAGCACUGGAGGAGAAGAUAAAUAAUUUCCCUGGAAGCC